UUCUUUAGAUAACGCGCGCAUGUCUGUGCCGGUUUUAGCGGUUAUGAAUUCACAAUGGUGUCUUUACAGUUGAAAAUAUUUUACAAAAUAACUAUUUAUUAACAUUCAAAUAUUUAAACUAAUUCCAUAAAUAAUUACAUGCAUAUAUCGUGUAUAUUCUAAUUGAUAAACAUAAUAAUUAAAAUAUGUGGUAAAGUUUCAAUACAUCAAUAAUGGCUCUCGAUAUUCGUCACUUAUGUAAACAAAAGUAACAAAUUAAUUAUUCAUUAGAUAUACAAUUCUAUUCCAAUGGAUUACCUUCAUUAAAUUAUGACAAUCUUAUUUCUCUGGCACGCGAAAGGAUUAAAGUCCUCAAAAUAAUCACAACGGUUACGAGAGAUAAUCCUGGCAAAAGUGAUGAAUAUAUAAGGAGUCUUGUAAUAGAAAGGUUGAAAAAUAUCCAAAGCUAUGGUUACGCAACUUUAUUAGCCAGCAAAGAACACCGAACAAGUUCUGAUCAAGAUAUUCAGAAUAGAUUGAUUGAUCAUGCAUCAUUUAUAAUGUUAUCACUAUCAGUAAUUUCUAGUCGUCAUUUUAAAGAUCUCUAGCAGAUUGAAGAGCAAUUAUGUAAACUGCGAAUCUCUGCGCUAGAUGAUGAAGGGAUCAGUGGUAUUUCCAAUAAUCGAUGAGAGUGAAAAACGAGAGCUUAAACCACAGCUGAUCAAAUAUCUACAAAAUCCCGACAGUUACAAUGAAAUUAUAUUUUUUAAAGUGCGAAUUACAACUGUCAUAUGUACGAUAAAUCCUCAUGAAGUUUACUUUAUUGAAGAAAUAGCUUUUAUACCUUUUUAUAAGAUGAAACAAGCCUUGUGUAAUUAGUUUUGGAAUAGUAACUAUAAAAAAAAAAAAAAAAAACAAACAAUUUCUUCUUUGAAUAUUUAAUCUUUAAAAAGCUUGGAAAAUCCUUGUGAAAAAUUUCAAUUUUUAUACAAAUGAAGCAAUCAGGAUUAAAUGACAGCGGAAUAACUGUUAAAGAUAAUGACUACUUAUCUGAAAAUACAUUCUCGCCUUGUACAUGAAUUACAAUUACUGUCAUUGUUGAAGUUAUUUAAAGACAAAUUCACUCAGAGGAUGGACGUUGAGUCAUUUGAGAAAGAGUACGAGUAUUACAUAAAGCAUGCUUAUGUGAUUCAAAACGUACCUACGUUAGCGGAAGGCUGCAAUGACUGCCCUUUACAAAUCACUCAUAUCACUGACAUUGAAGAUCUUGACGAGACUCUGUCGUAGUGGAAAAUUCCAAACUCAGAUAAGUGUGAUAUCAUAGAAAAGUUUAAGAAUGGAAAUUCUGGUGCUGCGUGUGUUCACUAUUUUCAUGUGGUAAAUUCAUUUAGAAUGAAAGCAAUUAUUCAACAUAUCAAUGAUUUUUUUAUCAUAGUCGUUAUGCUCAGAUUUCCUGUCUAUAAGAAUUUCCUGAUGAAGAUGAACAAAGAUUUUUCGAUUCUUUUCGCUUUGAUAUAUCUACUGAGAUAACAGAAAAUACAACAUAUAAUUCUGAAAAUCUUGAACAGGAUGAAAGUGUUGGUUUUAUAAAUUCAGCUGAAGAUAAAUUAAAAGCUGAUGUAGCUCCUGAUGUCAAAAAAAGAAAAACCGAUGUGGCUUUUUAUGAUUGCGAAGUAAAAAUACCUGAUGUGAAUAAAAAAGUUGGAAUAAAUUCAACGAAUGGAAUAAAAAGAAUUAGAGUAGAGUUUAUGGAUAGGUACUUGAGAAUACGAUAUUUCAGUAAAUAUUCAAGACGAAAAUUCGUCUUAAACAACUUUAUCAGUUCUAUUAGAACUAUUAUUGAAAUUUACAAAAAAGCAGGAGUAGAAAUGUUUGGCUGAAGAAUUUAAUUAUAUCAUCUCUGUUGAAAAUAUCAAUCCAGGCUUAAUAAUCAAUAUAUUAAGGCAAAAUGAGUGAAUAUUUAUGCUUAAAUAUUGAAAAUUUAUCAUUGUUAUUUAAGUAACAAAGUUUUAUCAAAACAUUUGCUAAUUUGAUCAAUAAAAUCAUCAUUACAUUA